GAUAGGGUUCCCAUCCUCUCGAGUAUCUUCAGCAGACUGGAAAAAAAGACAAAAAAGGUCAGACCCAGGACCGCUGUGACCAGGUGGGCAGAUACACCGAUAGCCAUUGAUUUCAUCUACGCAUGUAGCUCCAAAAGCACAAGGUGAAGACUGGCAUUCAUUGAUAUCUAAGAGAAUUUGAGGAAAGGAAAAUCUUCACUGAGGGAAGAGAAGAAAAGAAAGAACAAAGGAGAAGGACAUACACAGAUGCGCAAAGUCACUAGGAAUUGGAACUUACUUAUUCUGCAGUCUGGCCCAGCAAACCCUGGAGCACAUUCACAUCGGUACCAGUUGUCCCCAUCCACACAAGUUCCACUGUUAUAACUAAGAAGAAAGCAGAAGAGAUGUCUCAAUUUCAGAUCCCACAAACCAAUAAAUGUAUCUGGUGGUCAUGACAAGAUUAUCUGCUCAUACACAGUAUAUAAGGUCUCCACUUCAACAUUUUGUUGAAUUUACCGUGGGACACUUGGACACAGGAAGAGAAUCUUGUAAAGAAAGACCGGGAAGAAGUGAAUGGAAGCAGACAGCCGCUGGCAUACAAAGAAUGCCGGAAAAGGGGGACUACAUCUGUCUCCACUUAUCUCAUUUGUAACUUUCUCAUGCCCAGGUCAAGACUCUAUCAUACAAAGCCAUUAAAACAGAGAUUCAGGUGAUACUAA